rnacentral:lncRNA from 13 species
UUUAGCAUUACUGUCUAUAAAUGGGCUAGUCGUAGCUCAACCUUUCUUCUUCUUCUUCUUCUUCCAGAAAGGUGUAAUUCCGCCACCAACUGAACGGGUUGAAAAACAAAAACAAGUGCUUUCAAGCCUCCUACUGCUUGGCCAACCUACUCUGAGAUGUUGUGUGAGACAAACAAUCACUGUACAAUGUUGUGACGUACAUUCAACAAGAUGUAUGGAAGUGGCUGGGCUGCCACCUUGAGGUCAAGGUGGUGAAGGAGUUCAGUCCUACCUCUUUGGAUGAAGGUCAGUCAGGUUCAGCGCAAAGGACAACAUGGGCUGGAGGUGUAGUGGGUCUAAAUGAGUAGCAGAUGGUAGGAUAAUGACCAGCUCCAGAAUGAAGAGGAAUUUACAGGAAAAGGAAG